CCUACGGGUGGCAGCAGUGGGGAAUAUUGGGCAAUGGGCGCAAGCCUGACCCAGCAACGCCGCGUGAAGGAUGACGGCUCUCGGGUUGUAAACUUUUUUUUAGAGGGAAGUGCAGAAGUCGGUACCUCUUGAAUAAGCCACGGCUAACUACGUGCCAGCAGCCGAGGUAAUACGUAGGUGGCAAGCGUUGUCCGGAGUUACUGGGUGUAAAGGGCGUGAAGCCGGGAAGACAAGUCAGAUGUGAAAUCCCGCGGCUCAACCGCGGAACUGCAGUUGAAACUGGUUUUCUUGAGUACCGGAGAGGUCAUCGGAAUUCCUUGUGUAGCGGUGAAAUGCGUAGAUAUAAGGAAGAACACCAGUGGCGAAGGCGGAUGACUGGACUGCAACUGACGGUGAGGCUCGAAAGCGUGGGUAGCAAACAGGAUUAGAUACCCCUGUAGUC
rnacentral:rRNA from 1 species